UGCCAGCCGCCGCGGUAAUACGGAGGGGGCGAGCGUUGUUCGGAAUUACUGGGCGUAAAGCGCACGUAGGCGGACUGAUCAGUUGGGGGUGAAAUCCCGAGGCUUAACCUCGGAACUGCCUUCAAUACUGUCAGUCUUGAGAUCGGAAGAGGUGAGUGGAAUUCCUAGUGUAGAGGUGAAAUUCGUAGGUAUUCGGAGGAACACCAGUGGCGAAGGCGGCUCACUGGCUCGAUACUGACGCUGAGGUGCGAAAGCGUGGGGAGCAAACAGGAUUAGAUA
rnacentral:rRNA from 1 species